AACGCUAGCUACAGGCUUAACACAUGCAAGUCGAGGGGAAACGAUAGAGAAAGCUUGCUUUUUCUAGGCGUCGACCGGCGCACGGGUGAGUAACGCGUAUCCAACCUGCCCAUCACUUGGGGAUAACCUUGCGAAAGUAAGACUAAUACCCAAUGAGGUCUCUAGAAGACAUCUGAAAGAGAUUAAAGAUUUAUCGGUGAUGGAUGGGGAUGCGUCUGAUUAGCUUGUUGGCGGGGUAACGGCCCACCAAGGCGACGAUCAGUAGGGGUUCUGAGAGGAAGGUCCCCCACAUUGGAACUGAGACACGGUCCAAACUCCUACGGGAGGCAGCAGUGAGGAAUAUUGGUCAAUGGGCGAGAGCCUGAACCAGCCAAGUAGCGUGCAGGAUGACGGCCCUAUGGGUUGUAAACUGCUUUUAUAAGGGAAUAAAGUGGGAGUCGUGACUCCUUUUGCAUGUACCUUAUGAAUAAGGACCGGCUAAUUCCGUGCCAGCAGCCGCGGUAAUACGGAAGGUCCGGGCGUUAUCCGGAUUUAUUGGGUUUAAAGGGAGCGUAGGCCGGAGAUUAAGCGUGUUGUGAAAUGUAGACGCUCAACGUCUGCACUGCAGCGCGAACUGGUUUCCUUGAGUACGCACAAAGUGGGCGGAAUUCGUGGUGUAGCGGUGAAAUGCUUAGAUAUCACGAAGAACUCCGAUUGCGAAGGCAGCUCACUGGAGCGCAACUGACGCUGAAGCUCGAAAGUGCGGGUAUCGAACAGGAUUAGAUACCCUGGUAGUCCGCACGGUAAACGAUGGAUGCCCGCUGUUGGUCUGAAUAGGUCAGCGGCCAAGCGAAAGCAUUAAGCAUCCCACCUGGGGAGUACGCCGGCAACGGUGAAACUCAAAGGAAUUGACG
rnacentral:rRNA from 1 species